AACGAACGCUGGCGGCAUGCCUAACACAUGCAAGUCGAACGAGACCUUCGGGUCUUGUGGCGCACGGGUGCGUACCGCGUGGGAACCUGCCCUUAGGUUCGGUAUACCUCCCCGAAAGGGGUGCUAAUACCGCAUAAUGUCUUCGGACCAAAGAUUUUUCGCCUUGGGCUGGGCCCGCGUUGGAUUCGCUAGUUGGUAGGGGAAAAGCCUACCAAGGCGACGAUCCAUAGCUGGUCUGAGAGGAGGAUCAGCAACACUGGGACUGAGACACGGACCAGAAUGGGACGGGAGGGAGGAGUGGAGAAUAUUGGACAAGGGGCGAAAGUCUGAUAAAGCAAUGCCGGGGGAGAGAUGAAGGCCGUAGGGUUGUAAAGCUGUUUGAGCCGGGAUGAUAAUGACAGUACCGGGAGAAGAAGCACCGGCUAACUACGUG
rnacentral:rRNA from 1 species